ACACAGCACAUGAAAUCUUACAGGAUGCAGCAAAAGCAACUCUCCGGGAGAAGUAUAGUAAUAAUUGCCUAUAUUAAGAAAAAAGAAAGAUCUCAAAUAAAAAAUUUAACUUCAUGCCUCAAGGAACUGGAAAAGGAGGAACAAGCUAAACUCAAGUAUAGAAGAUAGAUGGUGCCAUCACUAAAAAGGAGAACAUGGUGAAUAUGAGUGGAGAAGAAUUGGAGAGGAGUUGAUAAAGAAUUGAAAAGGAAUAAAGAAUUGGAGCAAGGGUGUGUGAAGCCAUUUUGGAUAUGGUCUCAGAUACCACUGACACACAGUGGAAUAGAGUACUCAGCUUGGGUAACAUCUCCACGUGGAUCGGCUAGAUGCAUCUCAACCUCAAGAUAUGAUUAAAGACAACUAUGAUGAAAUCGAACCUCAGAAUCUCAUGUGGAAGGGCAAAUGAAGAAGUAUUAACUGCUGAGUCAGUAUCUACUCUGUAGCAGCGGAGGAUGUUCAAGUCACCAGAAGACCUGUGGCAUCUAGUCUCCAAGACGGCCUUUGAUGAUCCCUGCCUCAUGGUAUUCACACCCUUGUUUAGUUCCCACUCACAUUGUCCCAAGGGCUACGUGGUGGAUGACUGAAGCCUCUUGUCAACAUCUGUGUAAGUGAACUUAGAAGCAGAUCCUUAAGCCCUAAAUAACUACAGCCCUGGUCAACAGCUUGACUACAGCCAAUGAGAGACUUGAGACAGAAUUACCCAGCUAAGCUACAUCCAGAAACUUUACCCUCAGAAAGUGUCAGAGCUCUUCUUUCAGGAAGUCCACUUGAGCCUACACCCUCCAUCCUGACCUGGUUUACAUGCUCCUACUCUGUGCUUCAUAAAAUCCUGAGAAUAUAAUUCCAUCACUGGACCACUGGAUAGAUCCAGAAUAAUAUUUUUCUCUGUGAACCUGUGAAGUGACUGCUACUGACUUUGGAAUGUAAUUUUUUCACCCUGAAAUACAGUGGUCUCUCAUGAAGUACAAAGAUUGACAUUUCUGUGGACUUUAUAUGUCCAAGGACACUUCAAAGGCUAAGUGACUGUGAUUUCCACUGCUACUCUUACCAAAGAAAAUCAUUCACUCUAUGACUCUAAAAUGAAGCUGUCCCUGGAGUGGUUGACUGAGGGCAGAUGAAAGCUGAGAGCCGGCCUCUGCCACUCAGGGCUAGGCGCCACAUCCCCC